UGUAUGACAAAAGUAUUUUAAAUUAGACAUUUAUAUAUCCCAAGCUUAAAUUUUAGAUAAAUUUUUUUUUCGCACUUAGCCCAGUAACAAAAACCGCAUUCAAGCUGAUGAAAGGGGCAUGCAUUAUAGAUCUGACAGAGACGAGCUACGUAGGUCAUAUGUUACCAUAAAAUACUUGACUUUAGAGAAACAACAACUUCAACAACGAAAUCAAUACCUUGAGAUGCGAUGUAAAGAUGUGCAAACUACCAUUUCAAAGUUAAAGGGAUGUGUAAGCGAGCUAUCAAAGCAAGAACAUGACUAUGAGCAGAAGAUUCGAAAACAACAACAACUGUUGACAGACAAAGAUGCUGAAGUGCUGUUCCUAAGGACGAAUGUUGACAGUUUGAAAAAACUAAAUAAUUUAGUUGAAGAAGAAAGAAAUGAUCUCCGACUUCGGUAAAAUUAUGUUUAUAAGUAUAAAAAAUAAAUGAUUUCAUUCAUUGUCAACUUUCACCAGGAUAAAACAUAGUUAAAUAUUUACUUCUGAAUCCUAGCUGGAAGUCCUUUUAGAUACUUUCCAAUAUGGUUUACAGGUUUGUUUUUCAGUUCAUUGGAAUUAAUCUCUCCUGAAUUAUUUGAAAAUUCAUACGUGCUGUCUUAUAUAAAGAACAUAUAUUUGAAACACCUUUUUGAAGUAGUGUUUGUCAUUCAUGGUUUACAAUGACUAUGCAAAUGUACAGGUCAUGCAAAUGCUUUAAUAUAAAAUUUGAUUUUACGUUGCAAUCAGAAGCUUCUUUAAAAUAGCGUUAAAGUUAAAUACCAAUUCAAAAUACUUAUACUCAAGAAACUAAUGAUUUAAUUUGCAAGGUUUGAAUUUAUUGGCUUAAUCAAAUCAAGUCUAGAACAAUACCAAUUUUGAAGGUUUCCGGAAUUCUGUAAGAUUUCCUUUUAAUCUUAAAUUGUCAAGCUAGUGUAAAAAAGUAGUCUUGUCAUUAACAAAUCGUAUGAUAAGAUAAAAUAAAAAUGAUAAAAUUUCACAACUAAUUUCUGCUUAACAAUGAAUAUGUACAACUGUUAAUUAAAAUGCAACCACACAAUUAAUCACUUACAUGUUGUGUAAUAUUUACAUUAUCCCCAAAUAUUUUGUAUCAUGCUAUGAAAUGGUUUUGUCAGUUAACAAUAAUACUUAUUUCUAUAUUUAGACUUCAAGAAAAUGAAAAAAAUAUGGUUAUAUCGGACGAGAUCAUCAAGGUUGAUCAUUUAUACUCAUAAACUUUUAACGGUCCUAAGGCAUUUUAUACUCAGUCUUACACAUCAGCGGAUGUUUCUAGAUUCAAUAUUUUACCAUUUUCAUGUUUAAAUGUUGAAUUUUGAUUAAGCCGGUGCUAGGGUGCAUGGGCGGUUAUUUGCACGUAUCAGUACCGUCCAUGAUCCUGGUCCGUCUAACUAAGAGUUCAAGAUUUUCAAUUUUGUCGGUUUGUGCGUUCUUUAAGUACUCCGUUUUCCUCUAAUUUAAAGAAAAUAAUAUCGCCAUUUAUAAAAGGGACUUGUUUAACAUUUUAUAUUUUGGUCAUCUAUAGGCUAAGUAAACUGACAGGAAAGAAACUUGAAGACAACAAUCCAAUUGCUGAAUUAAGUGAUCCAAACAGACCAACAAAACUUGGAGAAUUUUACAGUGAAUUAUAUGACAAUGAAUGGACAAAUGCUCUUGAUGUAUUGCAUCUAAACGGACAUGAUGAAGAUAUCGCUAUAGAAACAUUGAAGCUUACAUUAUUGAAUAUUUAUAAAUUUUGCGAGAACAAAGCUGGUAUGGUUCUAAGGCAAUCAACAGAUGCAGUGAAUUUACUUUUUGAUGAGUAUAAGCAGUCAAUUGAUUUAGCGGUACCUUCCUAUUUGACAGUUCGAGAACAAAAUGUAAGAUAUUUUGUUAUAAGUCAGUGUCGUUUGUGGUAUAAGUAUAUAUAUCUAAAUUAGACGGUGCUAGAUUAGCAUGCUUGCUAUUUGCAAUUGCAGUUCAUGUAAAGCCCCAAUUAAACAGAAGACACUAGAUCCCUAAAUACGCCAACACACUGGUACAAUUUUUAUU